UACGUAGGGGGCAAGCGUUAUCCGGAUUUACUGGGUGUAAAGGGAGCGUAGACGGCGAUGCAAGUCUGAAGUGAAAGGCGGGGGCCCAACCCCCGGACUGCUUUGGAAACUGUAUAGCUGGAGUGCAGGAGAGGUAAGUGGAAUUCCUAGUGUAGCGGUGAAAUGCGUAGAUAUUAGGAGGAACACCAGUGGCGAAGGCAGCUUACUGGACUGUAACUGACGUUGAGGCUCGAAAGCGUGGGGAGCAAACAGG
rnacentral:rRNA from 1 species